UACAUCUUCAAGCCUCUUUUAUGGUUGACU
rnacentral:piRNA from 1 species